AGAGCGGACGCUGGCGGCAGGCUUAACACAUGCAAGUCGAGCGGGCGUAGCAAUACGUCAGCGGCAGACGGGUGAGUAACGCGUGGGAACGUACCUUUUGGUUCGGAACAACCCAGGGAAACUUGGGCUAAUACCGGAUAAGCCCUUACGGGGAAAGAUUUAUCGCCGAAAGAUCGGCCCGCGUCUGAUUAGCUAGUUGGUGAGGUAAUGGCUCACCAAGGCGACGAUCAGUAGCUGGUCUGAGAGGAUGAUCAGCCACAUUGGGACUGAGACACGGCCCAAACUCCUACGGGAGGCAGCAGUGGGGAAUAUUGGACAAUGGGCGCAAGCCUGAUCCAGCCAUGCCGCGUGGAUGAUGAAGGCCUUAGGGUUGUAAAGUCCUUUCGACGGGGAAGAUAAUGACGGUACCCGUAGAAGAAGCCCCGGCUAACUUCGUGCCAGCAGCCGC
rnacentral:rRNA from 1 species